GGUCGCCUGGUGUAGUGGUUAUCACGUCUGCUUUACAAAGUCUCGCCAGAGACCUCAUAUCGCAGCAGGUCGCGAGUUCAAUCCUCGCGGUGACCU